CAGGGUUAUUAGAUCGCCGCCGCCGCCAGCAUACGGCUGCAGAUGAAGGCCACAACUCUUCUCUCCGGCUAUCCCCGACGCCAACCCACCAUGCCAUGUCCGCCGGACCGACGACGGCCAGGACGACGUCCGGCGUCCAGCGCUGGAACGAGGAGCUCGACCAGGCUGAGCUGGGCGUCCAACCGGACAAGGCAGCAGUCCACGCUGGCGAGUGCGUGCAUGGCCCACCCCUCCGCCCACGGCGAUGCGGCUCCUGGCUGCGCAGCCACAGCGUGGAGCAUCCGCGCAUAUGUGUAUGCGUCAGCGGCCACCCUACACGCUGCAUCUUCAUGAAUACGCCUAUUAAAUCCAGACUUGCAGCAAGGCGUCGCCGCGGACUUUACUGACCCAACGCUGCCGUGAUGGCCGCCACACUCCUCACGCGGACACCAUGGCCUGGACGCAGCAGCGUGACACCACAUCACUACGCCUACACUGAAUUCAGCAAAGGAACUCCGGCCCAUCCAACUUUCAGGUUUGGAACAUAUUCCUUUGUGUUUCACAAAUAACAUGACAAAGUCCUAUGCUUUUAGUUCUUAUUAGGUUGUGUUUCACAAAUAACAUGACAGAAAAUCCUAUGCUGAACUGGAAUAAAUUAUUCAGAUUCUAUUGUGGUAAAGACACGAUAUCUUCCUUUUGGCAAGCGACAACAUCUGGAAGUCUUUGUAAUGAAACACUAUGACUAAGUAAUGAUCAUACUACUUAACAAUGUAAAAAGAAAUUAAUGAUCAUGCUCAACUGAAUUUUCUCUGAUGUGAGCUGAUGUUGGACUCAUAAUAUGUGAGUGCAAAACCCCAACAAGGCCCCGACGUGGAUCUGAAAACUGGUACGAAAUGCACAAGACACUGAAACUUCCUCCUGAUUCAGUGCAGCCAUACAUCCUUCAGCCUUCUACACCACGCCGACAAGCCGGAAAGUGCUACAAUAGUGGCAGCGCUCUCCCAGGCACUUGGGCUGCCCACAACUCCUACAAAAUAAAUUGGCACAAGCUUACUCACAUAGAUUUGCAGAUCGGCGCGUGUUAAAAAUAUGUACAUGCAUAUGGAUCAUUAGCAGAUCAUCUUUAUCGGGAAGGACUACUUCUCAAGCGACUACUGCCUUUAUCAAGUAAAGGAUCUUUGUCAGCAGUACAUUCUUUGAACUUUAUUAGUUAUAUCAUCUCACUCUUCCUAUGUUGUAUUGUUUGUACAUAAUGAGUAUUGAUGCUCAAUGCAACCACUAGAAUGCAAUGAUUAGUAA